UGCAACGAAGUGAGUACAAGAGAGAAAAAUUCAGGAAACUCCAGGUAAAUUCCAGAAGGAGAUAAGAAAUGAGAGAUAAUUACAACUUUGACAAAAUUUGUAACUGAUUCUUUAUUCCUUCGGUCAUCUUAUACCAUCUCUUGGUCGAUAUUCCAUUGCUGUCCUGUACUACAUGACAAAGUCAUUGAAUUUUUGUGGGAGCUUUCGCUGACGCGUAUCCCUCCUUGGUUCUGGUUAAGCCUCGUCUUGGUUCAAUGGUUCGGUAGUCACCCUUCCAUCUAGUUUAGUCAUAAUAAUACCCCUGUCCGAGAUGAACCUUAUCCUCAAGGUUCUAGUCAGGAAAACUCUUCGAGAGAUGGUCAUUAUCUUUCCAAGUUGUAGCCACACUUGGGAAACCCUCUCAUUGAAUUAGAAACUGGCCAACAAGAUGGCCAGCUCGUUCAAUCACUCGUUUAUUCAAGACAGCUGUAGGGUGAAAAAUUAAUGUGUUGGUUGAGUUCACAACAUGGAACGGCGUGACUUGUUGCUCGGGAAUGCCCAGGCAUUUUCGAUGGAGGGACACAUGGAAGAUUGGGUGAAUCUUGGCAGUAUUGGGCAAGUACAGUUUGUAUGCUACUUCCCCCACAUGGCUGAUGACUUUGAAGGGCACAGAGAAAUGCCGAUCGAGCUUAUGAUGGCGUCAAAGUCGAACGAAGUUUUGAUGGAAAGGCUGGAGUUUAACAUAAACCUAAUCACCCUCUUGACAAACCAAGUCGCGACGGUGUUUAUCCGCAAAAUUUUUCAUCUGAGCUUGUGUCUUUAAGAGAUUUUGUUUGAGUAGACUGAGGACGACGUCUCUAUCUAACAUGUAUUCCUCCACCAAAUCUGUUCUAGUAGCUCCCUUUAUGUAUAAUUGUUGGUGGUGGUCGCCUAUAGGGAACCUCAAAGGUAUCAUUUUUGCAGCUGUCUAGUAAGCAGUGUUGUACCUAUAUUUGGCCCAUGGUAUCAUUGCGACCCAAGUAUUUAGGGUGUCAAUAUUCUGAGGCAUUUGUUAAGAGCCUUCGUCUGUCGACUCAUUUGUGGGUGAUAUGGUGUACUAAUUGCCAGUUCCGUGCCUUGCGAGUGGUGAAGCUCCUGCCAAAAAUCUCGCAUGAAACGAGGAUCCCUGUCGGUGACAAUUGUGCUGGGAAUUCCAUGAAGAUGAAUGAUCUAAGAAACAAAUGCAGACGCAAUUGUAUCACUCGAAAAAUUACUUGAGAGAGCAAUGAAGCGACCAUACUUCCACAAACGAUCGACCACAACCAUGAUAACAGCUUUACCUUGCGGUGGUGGCAACUCGUUAAUGAAAUCCAUGGAAAUGUCCUCAAAAAAAAGAUCAGAAUAGGUAGGGUUUGAAGUAAACCAGCAGGGCAGAGGAAGGAAUCAUUAAUCUAUUGGCAGACUUGACACUCUGAGACGAAUCGUUGAACGUCGCGGCGUAUUCUUUUCCAAAAGAAAUUUGAGGACGCUUAAUGAAAGGUACAAGUAAUACUAGCAUGGCCGAUGAUGGGAGAAGAGUGGAAUUCCUGUAGAAGUUGCUGUCGAAGGACCGAAUCAGAGGGAAUAACUAGGCGGCCAUGAAAGAACAGAAGACCAUCUUUAUAAGUAUACCCAGGAAGAGACUUGGGAUCGGACUACAAGCGAGUUUGUAAGGCCAAAAAUUUUGGGUGAGAUUGGAGUUUGAAUCACUUCGUUGGUAAGGUUUUUCAAGGACUUCUGAUCGGUAGUAAUGGAGAAGCGAUGACCCAGCAGAUAUUGACGCCACUUCGCUACGGCCUGAGUAAUCGCAUACAUCUCGCGCUAGUAGGUGGACGCUGACUACAGGCGUAGAAUGAGUUUCUAACUAAAGAAUGAAAUGGGAUGGCGAUCUUGAGAGAGGACGGUGCCAAUACCCACCCCGUAGGCAUCAAUUUCCAAAGUGAAGGGUUUAGAGAAAUCUAGCAGCUGUAAUACUAGAGCCGAUGCCAAUAGUGUUUAUAAGUUGGAGAAGGCAAGGCUCGCCCGAGGAGACCAAUGGAAGGAAUCUUUAUUCAGUACAAGAGCUCACACCAUAUAGUUAAAGAGAACAUAAUCCAAACAUAAUUGGUAUUAUCUUUAGCUGUUACUUGAUAGUUAAAUAUUGAACACAUUAUAUGCAUAAAUUUGUUAUGCAGAAAUAGAGAAUAUAAUUAAAAUUAAUAUAUGAAUUUGAUUCAUAUAAAA